rnacentral:piRNA from 1 species
UUUUUUGGUGCUUUGCAAAAA